CCUACGGGAGGCAGCAGUGAGGAAUAUUGGUCAAUGGACGAGAGUCUGAACCAGCCAAGUCGCGUGAAGGAUGACUGUCCUAUGGUUUGUAACCUUCUUUUAUAUGGGAAUAAAACGUUCCACGUGUGGGAUUUUGUAUGUCCCAUAUGAAUAAGGAUCGGCUAACUCCGUGCCAGCAGCCGCGGUAAUACGGAGGCUCCGAGCGUUAUCCGGAUUUCUUGGGUUUAAAGGGUGCGUAGGUGGAUGGUUAAGUCAGUUGUGAAAGUGUGCGGCUCAACCGUAAAAGUGCAGUUGAAACUGGCAGUCUGGAGUACAGGAGAGGUAGGCGGAAUUCGUGGUGUAGCGGUGAAAUGCUUAGAUAUCACGAAGAACUCCGAUUGCGAAGGCAGUUCACUGGACUGCAACUGACGCUGAGGCUCGAAAGUGUGGGUAUCAAACAGGAUUAGAUACCCGUGUAGUC
rnacentral:rRNA from 1 species